rnacentral:lncRNA from 1 species
UUAGGAGUAUUGUUUAUUUUAUAUUUAGUUUAGUUUUUAUGUUCAAGACAGGCAUGGAAGAGACACUAAUUGCAUUAGUUACCAAAUGAUUAUGAUAGAAUAUGUUCCACAUCUUUGAUUUUGGAUACAUUUUAUAGCUAGGAGAGCAACACAUAAUAGGUUCAAUUUUUCGUGAUUUUUUUAAAUUGGGAGAUGAUAUCUGAGAACAUGAUAUAAGGAGCCUGUAAUUCAGUGGUUGUCGUUUGUUUAUGUGUUACAUAUUCGUUUUUUCUUUAUUUUUUGUACAUAAAUAAGCCUGUUAUUUUUCUCCUUUGAAUUGUUUCACAUUGUCAUUUCGAGACCUUUUAUAGCCGACUAUGCUGCAUUAGCUUUGCUCAUUGUUGAAGGUUGUGCGGCGACCUGUAAUUGUUAAUUUCUAUGUCAUUUUGGUCUGUUGUGGAGAAUUGUCUCAUUGGCAAUCAUAUCACAUCUUUUUUUAUAUGUAUUUGCUAACUAUUUGUAUGGUUCUAUUUAUAUAUACUGAGUGCCAAUGAAAACGCAACACUUGGUUUUUCAAAAAUAAAAUUUAUAUUAGAAAUCAUAAUCUUUCAAAAUGAAUUGUUCUUGAAAAUUAACAAUUCUAACAAUAGAUCGAUAUCAAACAAAAAUGUUUCAUUGUCAUCUUUCGGGCGCAAUAGAUAAACGAAACAUCCAAUGUCGAAUCAUCAAAUCACAGUCCUAACAAAAAAUGUUACAACCCUGUUGUGCAGCGCAAUCUCGACAGCGCCGUGGAAUUGAUCAUCCCGG